rnacentral:rRNA from 1 species
ACGGAAGGCAGCAGUGGGGAAUAUUGCACAAUGGGGGAAACCCUGAUGCAGCGAUGCCGCGUGGAGGAAGAAGGUUUUCGGAUUGUAAACUCCUGUCUUAAAGGACGAUAAUGACGGUACUUUAGGAGGAAGCUCCGGCUAACUACGUGCCAGCAGCCGCGGUAAUACGUAGGGAGCGAGCGUUGUCCGGAAUUACUGGGUGUAAAGGGAGCGUAGGCGGGAUGGUAAGUUAGAUGUGAAAGGCGAGGGCUUAACCCUCGAGCUGCAUUUAAAACUGCUGUUCUUGAGUGAAGUAGAGGUAAGCGGAAUCCCUGGUGUAGCGGUGAAAUGCGUAGAUAUCAGGAGGAACACCGGUGGCGAAGGCGGCUUACUGGGCUUUAACUGACGCUGAGGCUCGAAAGCGUGGGUAGCAAACAGGAUUAGAUACCCUGGUA